GAUGAACGCUGACAGAAUGCUUAACACAUGCAAGUCAACUUGAACUUCGGUUUGGGUGGCGGACGGGUGAGUAACGCGUAAAGAACUUGCCUCACAGUUAGGGACAACAUUUGGAAACGAAUGCUAAUACCUGAUAUUAUGAUUUUAGGGCAUCCUAGAAUUAUGAAAGCUAUAUGCGCUGUGAGAGAGCUUUGCGUCCCAUUAGCUAGUUGGAGAGGUAACGGCUCACCAAGGCGAUGAUGGGUAGCCGGCCUGAGAGGGUGAACGGCCACAAGGGGACUGAGACACGGCCCAUACUCCUACGGGAGGCAGCAGUGGGGAAUAUUGGACAAUGGACCAAGAGUCUGGUCCAGCAAUUCUGUGUGCACGAUGAAGUUUUUCGGAAUGUAAAGUGCUUUCAGUUGGGAAGAAAAAAAUGACGGUACCAACAGAAGAAGUGACGGCUAAAUACGUG
rnacentral:rRNA from 1 species